rnacentral:sRNA from 1 species
CGGAUCUUCUUCUUCUUCUUCCUCUUCUUCAUCUUCGU